AUUGAACGCUGGCGGCAUGCCUUACACAUGCAAGUCGAACGACGCUAGGGGCAACUCUAGCGAGUGGCGAACGGGUGAGUAAUACAUCGGAACGUGUCCUGUCGUGGGGGAUAACCAGUCGAAAGAUUGGCUAAUACCGCAUGACCUCGUAAGAGAAAAGCGGGGGACCGCAAGGCCUCGCGCGAUUGGAGCGGCCGAUGUCGGAUUAGCUAGUUGGCGGGGUAAAAGCCCACCAAGGCGACGAUCCGUAGCUGGUUUGAGAGAACGACCAGCCACACUGGGACUGAGACACGGCCCAGACUCCUACGGGAGGCAGCAGUGGGGAAUUUUGGACAAUGGGCGCAAGCCUGAUCCAGCCAUGCCGCGUGUGUGAAGAAGGCCUUCGGGUUGUAAAGCACUUUCGGGCGGAACGAAAUCGCGCGGGUUAACAGCCUGCGUGGAUGACGGUACCGCAAGAAGAAGCACCGGCUAACUACGUGCCAGCCGCCGCAGUAA
rnacentral:rRNA from 1 species